rnacentral:rRNA from 1 species
GAGUUUGAUCGUGGCUCAGAACGAACGCUGGCGGCAGGCUUAACACAUGCAAGUCGAACGCUCCGCAAGGGGAGUGGCGCACGGGUGAGGAACACGUGGGUACCUACCCUCUGGUUCGGAAUAACCCCGGGAAACUGGGCGUAAUACCGAAUGUCUCCUACGGGAGAAAGAUUUAUCGCCAGAGGAGGGGCCCGCGUCCGAUUAGCUAGUUGGUGAGGUAAUGGCUCACCAAGGCUACGAUCGGUAGCUGGUCUGAGAGGACGAUCAGCCACACUGGGACUGAGACACGGCCCAGACUCCUACGGGAGGCAGCAGUGGGGAAUAUUGGACAAUGGGGGCAACCCUGAUCCAGCCAUGCCGCGUGAGUGAUGAAGGCCUUC